rnacentral:rRNA from 1 species
AACGUAGGGGGCGAGCGUUAUCCGGAAUCACUGGGCGUAAAGCGCGUGCAGGCGGUCUGGUAGGUUGGACGUGAAAGCUCCUGGCUCAACUAGGAGAGGCCGUUCAAAACCGCCAGACUUGAGGGCGGAAGAGGGGAGUGGAAUUCCCGGUGUAGCGGUGGAAUGCGCAGAUAUCGGGAGGAACACCCGUGGCGAAAGCGGCUCCCUGGUCCGCACCUGACGCUCAGACGCGAAAGCGUGGGGAGCGAACGGG